rnacentral:tRNA from 1 species
UAGGGUGUAGCUCAGUGGAAGAGCACAUACUUAACAUGUAAGAGGCCCUACAUUCAAUCCUCAGCACCAAAC